rnacentral:rRNA from 1 species
AGAGUUUGAUCGUGGCUCAGGAUGAACGCUAGCGGCGCGCUUAAUGCAUGCAAGUCGAGCGAUGAGGCCCUUUCGAGGGCACAUCAGCGGCAGACGGGUGAGUAACACGUAGGUGACCUGCCCUUCAGUUGGGGAUAACGGGUGGAAACACUCGCUAAUACCCGAUGGACUCUUGGGGUCGCAGCCAAGAGGAAAGCAGUGAUGCGCUGAGGGAGGGGCCUGCGGCCCAUCAGCUAGUUGGUGCGGUAACAGCGCACCAAGGCAAAGACGGGUAGGGGGUGUGAGAGCAUGGCCCCCCACAAUGGGACUGAGACACGGCCCAUACUCCUACGGGAGGCAGCAGCAGGGAAUAUUGCGCAAUGGGCGAAAGCCUGACGCAGCGACGCCGCGUGGAUGAGGAAGGCCUUCGGGUUGUAAAAUCCUUUUCGGGGGGAAGAGAAUGGACGGUACCCUCGGAAAAAGCGUCGGCUAACUACGUGCCAGCAGCCGCGGUAAUACGUAGGACGCGAGCGUUAUCCGGAUUUACUGGGCGUAAAGCGUCUGUAGGCGGCUUUGUAAGUUGGGCGUGAAAGCUCCGGGCUUAACCCGGAGAGGCCGUUCAAUACUGCAGAGCUAGAGGGUGACAGAGGAGCGUGGAAUUUCCGGUGUAGCGGUAAAAUGCGCAGAUAUCGGGAGGAACACCAGUGGCGAAGGCGGCGCUCUGGGUCAUACCUGACGCUGAGAGACGAAAGCUAGGGGAGCAAACAGGAUUAGAGACCCUGGUAGUCCUAGCCUUAAACGAUGGAUGCUAGGUGUGGGGCUGAACAGGCUCUGUGCCGUAGCCAACGCGAUAAGCAUCCCGCCUGGGGAGUACGGCCGCAAGGUUAAAACUCAAACGAAUUGACGGGGACCCGCACAAGCAGCGGAGCGUGUGGUUUAAUUCGAUUCUACACGAAGAACCUUACCUGGGUUUGACAUGCGCGUGGUAGUGAGCCGAAAGGUGAGCGACCCUUCGGGGAGCGUGCACAGGUGCUGCAUGGCUGUCGUCAGCUCGUGCCGUGAGGUGUCGGGUUAAGUCCCGUAACGGGCGCAACCCUUGCCCUUAGUUAUACGUAUCUAGGGGGACUGCCGGCGGGAAGCCGGAGGAAGGUGGGAAUGACGUCAAGUCAGCAUGGCCCUUAUGUCCAGGGCUACACACACGCUACAAUGGGCGGUACAACGGGCAGCUAAGCCGUGAGGCGGAGCGAAUCCCAUCAAAGCCGUUCGUAGUUCGGAUAGCAGGCUGCAACUCGCCUGCUUGAAGCUGGAGUUGCUAGUAACCGCGCGUCAGCCAUAGUGCGGUGAAUACGUUCCCGGGUCCUGUACACACCGCCCGUCACGUCAUGGGAGUUGGUAACGCCUGAAGCCGGUAGCCUGACCGCAAGGGGGGCGCUGUCGAAGGUGGGACUAGCGACUGGGACGAAGUCGU